ACGAACGCUGGCGGCGUGCUUAACACAUGCAAGUCGAACGAGAGGACAAGAGAAGCUUGCUUCUUUUGGAAUCGAGUGGCAAACGGGUGAGUAACACGUAAACAACCUGCCUUCAGGAUGGGGACAACAGACGGAAACGACUGCUAAUACCGAAUACGCUUGGGAGACCGCAUGAUCUACCAAGGAAAGGGUGGCCUCUACCUGUAAGCUAUCGCCUGAAGAGGGGUUUGCGUCUGAUUAGGCAGUUGGUGAGGUAACGGCCCACCAAACCUACGAUCAGUAGCCGGUCUGAGAGGAUGAACGGCCACACUGGAACUGAGACACGGUCCAGACUCCUACGGGAGGCAGCAGUGGGGAAUCUUCCGCAAUGGGCGAAAGCCUGACGGAGCAACGCCGCGUGAGUGAUGACGGCCUUCGGGUUAGUAAAGCUCUGUGAUCGGGGACGAACGGUCCGUAAGCUAAUACCUUAUGGAAGUGACGGUACCCGAAUAGCAAGCCACGGCUAACUACGUG
rnacentral:rRNA from 1 species